AACGAACGCUGGCGGCAUGCCUAACACAUGCAAGUCGAACGAGACCUUCGGGUCUAGUGGCGCACGGGUGCGUAACGCGUGGGAACCUGCCCUUAGGUUCGGAAUAACUCCCCGAAAGGGGUGCUAAUACCGGAUAAUGUCUUCGGACCAAAGAUUUAUCGCCUUUGGAUGGGCCCGCGUUGGAUUGGCUAGUUGGUAGGGUAAAAGCCUACCAAGGCGACGAUCCAUAGCUGGUCUGAGAGGAUGAUCAGCCACACUGGAGCUGAGACACAGCCCAGACUCCGACGGGAGGCAGCAGUGGGGAAUAUUGGACAAUGGGCGAAGGCCUGAUCCAGCCAUGCCGGGGGAGUGAUGAAGGCCUUAGGGUUGUAAAGCUCUUUGACACGGGAUGAUAAUGACAGUACCGGGAGAAUAAGCACCGGCUAACUACGUG
rnacentral:rRNA from 1 species